rnacentral:rRNA from 1 species
AUUGAACGCUGGCGGCAGGCCUAACACAUGCAAGUCGAACGAGUGGCGGACGGGUGAGUAAUGUCUGGGAAACUGCCCGAUGGAGGGGGAUAACUACUGGAAACGGUAGCUAAUACCGAAUACCCUCGGAUGUGCCCAGAUGGGAUUAGCUAGUAGGUGGGGUAACGGAUCACCUAGGCCACGAUCCCUCGCUGGUCUGAGAGUAUGAACAGCCACACUGGAACUGAGAGACGGUCCAGACUCCGACGGGAGGCAGCAGGGGGGAAUAUUGCACAAUGGGCGCAAUCCUGAUGCAGCCAUGCCGCGUGUGGGAAGAAGGCCUUCGGGUUGUAAAGCACUUUCAGCGGGGAGGCGUUACCCGCAGAAGAAGCACCGGCUAACUCCGUGCCAGCAGCCGCGGUAAUAC